CAAUAGCGUAUAUUAAAGUUGUUGCAGUUAAAAAGCUCGUAGUUGGAUUUCUGGUGGGAGCGAUCGGUCUGGCGCUUAGCGCGAGUACUUGCAUCGUCUCCGGCCAUCCUUGGGGAGAGUCUGUCUGGCAUUAGGUUGUCGGGCAGAGGAUCCUCAUCGUUUACUGUGAAAAAAUUAGAGUGUUCAAAGCAGGCUUAUGCCGUUGAAUAUAUUAGCAUGGAAUAAUAAGAUAGGACUUUGGUACUAUUUUGUUGGUUUGCGCACCAAAGUAAUGAUUAAUAGGGACAGUUGGGGGUAUUCGUAUUCCGUUGUCAGAGGUGAAUUUCUUGGAUUUACGGAAGACGAACUACUGCGAAAGCAUUUACCAAGGAUGUUUUCAUUAA
rnacentral:rRNA from 1 species